rnacentral:tRNA from 2 species
AUUAAGAUAGUUUAAUAAAACAUUGGUCUUGUAAAUCAAAAUUGGCAAAGCCUCUUAGUA